rnacentral:rRNA from 1 species
GUACUGCGGAAGGAUCAUUAUUGAAUAAACUUGGUUGGGUUGUGCUGGCUUUUCGGAGCAUGUGCACGCCUAGCGCCAUUUUUACCACCUGUGCACAUUUUGUAGAUUUGGAACAAUUCUCGAGUUUACUCGGUUUGAGGAAUGCUAUGCCAAAAGCUUAGCUUUCCUUGUGUUUCAAGUCUAUGUUUUUAUAUACCCCAUACGAAUGUAAUAGAAUGUCAUUAAUGGGCUUAUAGCCUUUAAAUUAAUACAACUUUCAACAACGGAUCUCUUGGCUCUCGCAUCGAUGAAGAACGCAGCGAAAUGCGAUAAGUAAUGUGAAUUGCAGAAUUCAGUGAAUCAUCGAAUCUUUGAACGCACCUUGCGCUCCUUGGUAUUCCGAGGAGCAUGCCUGUUUGAGUGUCAUUAAAUUCUCAACCUUUUCAGCUUUUACAAGUUGGAUUGGCUUGGAUGUGGAGGUUUUGCAGGCUUCUUAAGAAGUCAGCUCCUCUUAAAUACAUUAGCGGAACCUUUGUGGACCAGCUUUGGUGUGAUAAUUAUCUACGCCAUGGUUGUAAAGCAGCUUUAUAUGGGGUUCAGCUUCUAACAGUCCAUUUACUUGGACAAUUUCUGACAUCUGACCUCAAAUCAGGUAGACAGCCAGCUC